rnacentral:rRNA from 1 species
CCUACGGGUGGCAGCAGUCGAGAAUUUUUCUCAAUGGGGGAAACCCUGAAGGAGCGACGCCGCGUGGAGGAUGAAGGCUUUCGGGUUGUAAACUCCUGUCAUUUGGGAACUAGUACCAGAAGAGGAAGGGACGGCUAACUCUGUGCCAGCAGCCGCGGUAAUACAGAGGUCUCAAGCGUUGUUCGGAUUCAUUGGGCGUAAAGGGUGCGUAGGUGGCGCCGUAAGUCGGAUGUGAAAUUUCGGAGCUUAACUCCGAAACUGCAUUCGAUACUGCGGUGCUUGAGGACUGGAGAGGAGACUGGAAUUCAUGGUGUAGCAGUGAAAUGCGUAGAGAUCAUGAGGAAGACCAGUGGCGAAGGCGGGUCUCUGGACAGUCCUGACACUGAGGCACGAAGGCCAGGGGAGCAAACGGGAUUAGAUACCCUUGUAGUC